rnacentral:snoRNA from 1 species
GGCUUCCUGGGGCUUACCACAGGCUGUAUUCUUAUACUGAUUGUAUAGAAAGAGGAGACAAAGGAAACCUACACCAUACAAAUCUCAGCCCAGGCCCUUUGCCUGGUCUGUACUGUGAAUGGGGAGACAUGC